rnacentral:rRNA from 1 species
GAUGAACGCUGGCGGCGUGCCUAAUACAUGCAAGUCGAGCGAACAGACGAGGAGCUUGCUCCUCUGACGUUAGCGGCGGACGGGUGAGUAACACGUGGAUAACCUACCUAUAAGACUGGGAUAACUUCGGGAAACCGGAGCUAAUACCGGAUAAUAUAUUGAACCGCAUGGUUCAAUAGUGAAAGACGGUUUUGCUGUCACUUAUAGAUGGAUCCGCGCCGCAUUAGCUAAUUGGUAAGGUAACGGCUUACCAAGGCAACGAUGCGUAGCCGACCUGAGAGGGUGAUCGGCCACACUGGAACUGAGACACGGUCCAGACUCCCACGGGAGGCAGCAGUAGGGAAUCUUCCGCAAUGGGCGAAAGCCUGACGGAGCAACGCCGCGUGAGUGAUGAAGGUCUUCGGAUCGUAAAACUCUGUUAUUAGGGAAGAACAAAUGUGUAAGUAACUAUGCACGUCUUGACGGUACCUAAUCAGAAAGCCACGGCUAACUACGUG